rnacentral:rRNA from 1 species
UACGGAGGAUGCGAGCGUUAUCCGGAUUUAUUGGGUUUAAAGGGUGCGCAGGCGGACGCUUAAGUCAGCGGUAAAAUUGCGGGGCUCAACCUCGUCGAGCCGUUGAAACUGGGUGUCUUGAGUGGGCGAGAAGUACGCGGAAUGCGUGGUGUAGCGGUGAAAUGCAUAGAUAUCACGCAGAACUCCGAUUGCGAAGGCAGCGUACCGGCGCCCAACUGACGCUGAAGCACGAAGGCGUGGGUAUCGAACAGG